rnacentral:rRNA from 1 species
UGCGAAUGGCUCAUUAAAUCAGUUAUCGUUUAUUUGAUAGUACCUUACUACAUGGAUAACCGUGGUAAUUCUAGAGCUAAUACAUGCUAAAAACCCCGACUUCGGAAGGGGUGUAUUUAUUAGAUAAAAAACCAAUGCCCUUCGGGGCUCUCUGGUGAUUCAUAAUAACUCAACGAAUCGCAUGGCCUUGCGCCGGCGAUGGUUCAUUCAAAUUUCUGCCCUAUCAACUUUCGAUUGUAGGAUAGAGGCCUACAAUGGUAUCAACGGGUAACGGGGAAUUAGGGUUCGAUUCCGGAGAGGGAGCCUGAGAAACGGCUACCACAUCCAAGGAAGGCAGCAGGCGCGCAAAUUACCCAAUCCCGACACGGGGAGGUAGUGACAAUAAAUACUGAUACAGGGCUCUUUUGGGUCUUGUAAUUGGAAUGAGUACAAUCUAAAUCCCUUAACGAGGAACAAUUGGAGGGCAAGUCUGGUGCCAGCAGCCGCGGUAAUUCCAGCUCCAAUAGCGUAUAUUAAAGUUGUUGCAGUUAAAAAGCUCGUAGUUGAACCUUGGGCCUGGCUGGCCGGUCCGCCUCACCGCGUGCACUGGUUCGGCCGGGCCUUUCCUUCUGGGGAACCGCAUGCCCUUCACUGGGCGUGCCGGGGAACCAGGACUUUUACUUUGAAAAAAUUAGAGUGUUCAAAGCAGGCCUUCGCUCGAAUACAUUAGCAUGGAAUAAUAGAAUAGGACGUGCGGUUCUAUUUUGUUGGUUUCUAGGACCGCCGUAAUGAUUAAUAGGGAUAGUCGGGGCCAUCCGUAUUCAAUUGUCAGAGGUGAAAUUCUUGGAUUUAUUGAAGACGAACUACUGCGAAAGCAUUUGGCAAGGAUGUUUUCAUUAAUCAGUGAACGAAAGUUAGGGGAUCGAAGACGAUCAGAUACCGUCGUAGUCUUAACCAUAAACUAUGCCGACUAGGGAUCGGACGGUGUUAUUAUUUUGACCCGUUCGGCACCUUACGAGAAAUCAAAGUCUUUGGGUUCUGGG